rnacentral:rRNA from 1 species
CUCUCAAUUGUUUUAUGCUUGCAUAAAUGAUUUUUGGAUUCGGAGCGAGUGGCGAACUGGUGAGUAACACGUGGGUAACCUGCCCCGAAGCGGGGGAUAACAUUUGGAAACAAAUGCUAAUACCGCAUAAUUAGUUGGAACCGCAUGGUUCCAAUUUGAAAGAUGGCUCUGCUAUCACUUUGGGAUGGACCCGCGCCGUAUUAGUUAGUUGGUGAGAUAAAAGCCCACCAAGACGAUGAUACGUAGCCGACCUGAGAGGGUAAUCGGCCACAUUGGGACUGAGACACGGCCCAGACUCCUACGGGAGGCAGCAGUAGGGAAUCUUCCACAAUGGACGAAAGUCUGAUGGAGCAACGCCGCGUGAGUGAUGAAGGGUUUCGGCUCGUAAAACUCUGUUGUUAAAGAAGAACAAGUGUUAGAGUAACUGUUAACACUUUGACGGUAUUUAACCAGAAAGCCACGGCUAACUACGUGCCAGCAGCCGCGGUAAUACGUAGGUGGCAAGCGUUGUCCGGAUUUAUUGGGCGUAAAGCGAGCGCAGGCGGUUUUGUAAGUCUGCUGUGAAAGCCCUCAGCUCAACUGAGGAAGUGCAGUGGAAACUACAAAACUUGAGUACAGAAGAGGAAAGUGGAACUCCAUGUGUAGCGGUGAAAUGCGUAGAUAUAUGGAAGAACACCAGUGGCGAAGGCGGCUUUCUGGUCUGUUACUGACGCUGAGGCUCGAAAGCAUGGGUAGCGAACAGGAUUAGAUACCCUGGUAGUCCAUGCCGUAAACGAUGAAUACUAGGUGUUGGAGGGGUUUCCGCCCUUCAGUGCCGCAGCUAACGCAUUAAGUAUUCCGCCUGGGGAGUACGACCGCAAAGGUUGAAACUCAAAGGAAUUGACGGGGGCCCGCACAAGUGGUGGAGCAUGUGGGUUUAAUUUCGAUGCUACGCGAAGAACCUUACCAGCUCUUGACAUCUUUCUGCCAACCCAAGAGAUUGGGCGUUCCCCUUUCGGGGACAGAUGACAGUGGUGCAUGGUUUGUCGUCAGCUCGUGUCGGGAGAUGUUGGGUUUAAGUCCCGCACGAGCGCACCCUUAUUAAUUAGUUGCCAGCAUUUA